rnacentral:rRNA from 1 species
CCCUUAGAUGUUCUGGGCCGCACGCGCGCUACACUGACGGAUGCAACGAGCUUAUAACCUUGGCCGAAAGGUCUGGGUAAUCUCCAAAUUUCGUCGUGAUGGGGAUAGAUUAUUGCAAUUAUUAAUCUUCAACGAGGAAUGCCUAGUAAGCGCAAGUCAUCAGCUUGCGUUGAUUACGUCCCUGCCCUUUGUACACACCGCCCGUCGCUCCUACCGAUUGAAUGGUCCGGUGAAGCGUUCGGACCGUGGCCUUUGGACGGUUCGCCGUCUGUUGGCUGCGGGAAGUUCGUUAAACCUUAUCAUUUAGAGGAAGGUGAAGUCGUAACA